rnacentral:rRNA from 1 species
AUGUUGUUGCUGGUUGAUUCCGGGAGUACACACAGUUUCGUCAAUGCCUCCUUCGCCAAACGCAUCACUGCAGUGACCAAGCCCUUACCUACAGUAGCUGUCAGAGUGGCUAAUGGACAACAGCUACAGUGCACUGAAAUGGUUCCUCAAUUACAAUGCACAGCACAGGGACACAAGUUCAGUUCAGAUAUGCGUGUCCUGCAACUUGGGGUCUAUGACGCAGUCCUUGGGGUGGAUUGGCUUGCCCAACAUAGCCCGAUGCAGUGUGAUUGGAACCUCAAGACAAUUCAGUUUGAUUGCGAAGGAACACCGGUGCAUCUCACCAGUGUCUGA